CUUGACCGAGCCGAGCCACAACGGCUCGGUACGGUCCUGCCCGUAAGUGGCCAGCAGCGCCUGCGCCUC
rfam:Streptomyces hygroscopicus subsp. jinggangensis 5008, complete genome.